UUUUGUUAUUGCCAAUUUCUGAGGUAACUUGUAUAUUUUUCUGGUCUGCUCACUAGCAUUUUUGUUAGUGAAUAAUAUACCAUGCAUCAUGGGCUAGGCUAGCCCAUUAUAUCAUUAAUUAAUAGAAUGGCCCACUUUAAAUCGCUUAAGAGUUGAAAAUCUGAACACCAAUUGUCCUACUCACAUACAUAUUUGCAUGCACGUGUGCACGUACAUGCAUAAACAUGUUUUGUGUGACUGUCUAUUUUUAUAUAUCAUUUUUUCUUAAUGCGAUUAGUAAUAAACUAGAAGACAAGAUGUGAGGAAUCUUAUUGAGAACAAUUUGUCAUGUGCAAUAACAGCUAGUUUUGGUUCUCCAAGAGGAUAAUAGUGGAUUGAGGGGAGGCAAAUACCCUUAAUUUAUCUAUG
rnacentral:misc_RNA from 1 species